GACGAACGCUGGCGGCGUGCUUAACGCAUGCAAGUCGAACGGAAAGGCCCUGCUUUUGUGGGGUGCUCGAGUGGCGAACGGGUGAGUAACACGUGAGUAACCUGCCCUUGACUUUGGGAUAACUUCAGGAAACUGGGGCUAAUACCGGAUAGGAGAUCCUGCUGCAUGGUGGGGGUUGGAAAGUUUCGGCGGUUGGGGAUGGACUCGCGGCUUAUCAGCUUGUUGGUGGGGUAGUGGCUUACCAAGGCUUUGACGGGUAGCCGGCCUGAGGGGGUGACCGGCCCCAUUGGGACUGAGGUACGGCCCAGACUGCUACGGGAGGCAGCAGUGGGGAAUAUUGCACAAUGGGCGGAAGCCUGAUGCAGCAACGCCGCGUGCGGGAUGACGGCCUUCGGGUUGUAAACCGCUUUCGCCUGUGACGAAGCGUGAGUGACGGUAAUGGGUAAAGAAGCAACGGCUAACUACGUG
rnacentral:rRNA from 1 species